GUGAUUUGCCAACGUAUUCCAUAGGAAUAAAUGUCAAGGUUAAUUUGUCCAAGAGAAAACCUGUUGUUUUAUUACAUGUCUCUUUCACAAGUUUAAUUAUAACUAAUCACUUUUUUUCUCUUUUAAUUUCAGGGAGCGGUGCAUUUCCAAAAAGGUCAUUUAGAAGAUGAAAUGCGUCAAGGGAAAGCAUCUGUUGCAUUAGCUGUCAAUAAUAAAUAAAUAAUUGAUACAUGCACAUUUAUUUGGUUCUGCAUUUUUUUCAUUGUGCGCAGUCAGGAUGGCUGCUGAUUGACUGCAUUUGCCUUACUUGAACAAAACCAGGUAAUGGGCAAGAACUGGGUCUAUAAAGUGCCAGGUGUCAUGGAUAUCUGGGCAAGUAAAGAUUUCCUGCCAUGACCUGAAUGUCACACACCCUCAGCUGUAAAUCUAAUUGUUGGGUGGAGAUCUUGUUAUUGCGGUUUGUAUUCUAUGUUAAUGCAGUUAUUUGGCUAUAUAAAGGUGAACCUCUAUCCUAUUACUUUUUUUUUGUAAAUACAUAACCCUAUAUUUUAAUAAAGCUACAACCUUUACACAUUACGACUAUUGUCCUGGC